GACGGGUAUGAUAUGAUUUGGUUUGAGCUGUUAUUUAUCUAGUUCCUAGUGACACUGAUUUCUGGAGAUUUAAAUUUAAAAAUACAAAAACACAUGAUGAGUUCCUUGUGUGAUAGAGAGUAAAAUUCCUACCACAGCCAUAUAUUUUAGAAUAGAAAACCUCCACACAUUUAUCGCUGCUUGUAAUUGCUUUGAGUUUCGUCAAGCUUUGUUUGACCCUUAGGGGCUUAUCAUGCUUUUAAAAUCAAGAUCACGUACACACCUCAUCCAUCAUGCUACUUCUACAUUGGAAGUACGCACCCACAUAUAUCCCAUCCAGAAUCACCCAAAAAUCUUUUACUCUUACACUGAGAGUGAACACCAAAAAUAUCCAGGUUUUCCACCUUGAUAGCCUCAAAAUAAAAAUGCUCUAUGUUCUUAUUGUUAUUCCUCUUACAAAUCCUAUUGCAAGGAGAGUUUUAAGUUGUUCUCAAAAAAAUGGACAAUUGUCCACCAAAAAAAAGAGAAUAAGAGAGAUCCAACCUAGAUCCCCUCCAUCUUUUAUCCAAACAAGAGGAAAUGUUAUCUUCAAAAAGAGCAUUGUAUAAUUAGGAUUCCACCCUUUCCUUCCGCCACCAUAUCAUCCACCAUAUAAAACCACAAAAAUAUCCAUACAUAUGCACAUCUUGAUUUGAUUUUAUGAUGAGUUCCUCUAGAUCCAUUGUUUGACCUAGCAACAUAAGCAUUGCAAGUAUGUAUGAGCUACUUCCCCACCUAUGAACUCCACAUAAGCCUAUUAGUUGUAGGGUCUGAGGAAGAGUGUAGGCAUAACACAUUUAUUGCCUCAAGUAAGGAUCCACAAAUACCACAUAUUUAAGAGACUUGAGAGGUCGUGAAGGAACUCUGAGCUUUAUUUUGAAUAUACUUAUAAAAACUCCAGGAUAGAAGUGAAACAAAGAGCUUGAGACAUAGUGCUUGCUAGAUUGUUCUACCUCUCAAUUACUCAAGACCUAAGUGAAAGUAAAAGCCCCAUGGUUGUAGGUGACAUUAGUAACUUUGAAAGUUAGAACUGUCUACUUUAGUAUAAGGGACAAUUUUCCAUUCAAUGCAUGUGUGCUUUGAAGGAAUGAAAACAUUGUAGCAACUCCUGAUCUAGAUUAAGUCUAUCUGCUUGCUCGAGGACGCACAAAAGGAAAGCUUGGGGGAGCUUGUUGAUGGUAGAUACGGACCGCAUUUAUAUCAACAAGGACAAGGAAAAAGGGCACAAAGUAAUCACCAAUAGAAGUAUAGGGUUUUAUUUGACAGAUUUCCACCAGUUUUGGUGAAUGUCUAUUUUUGUAGGGGGUUAUCCGAAAUUGACCUUUGGAGGCGCACAUGUCAUGAUACAUAGAGAGAAACGAGAUAUCUACACCACGUAUACAAAAGAAGGUUCUAGAAGGAUCAUGAAGCCACUAGAACAAAGUGAAAGACGAGAGGAGCUAGAGGCAGGGUGCUUAAGCAGGGCGGUCGCCCCCUCCCCUCAACCAAUAAUGAGUAAUCUCGC
rnacentral:lncRNA from 1 species